UACGUAGGGGGCGAGCGUUGUCCGGAUUUAUUGGGCGUAAAGAGCGUGUAGGCGGCCAGGUAGGUCCGUUGUGAAAACUCGAGGCUCAACCUCGAGACGUCGGCGGAAACCAUCUGGCUAGAGUCCGGAAGAGGAGAGUGGAAUUCCUGGUGUAGCGGUGAAAUGCGCAGAUAUCAGGAAGAACACCCGUGGCGAAGGCGGCUCUCUGGGACGGUACUGACGCUGAGACGCGAAAGCGUGGGGGGCGAACAGG
rnacentral:rRNA from 1 species